rnacentral:rRNA from 1 species
GAACGCGAAGAACCUUACCCGGGAUUGAAAUUUAGAUGGCGGCAGAUGAGAGUUUGCUUUCCUUCGGGACAUCUAAGUAGGUGCUGCAUGGUUGUCGUCAGCUCGUGCCGUGAGGUGUCGGCUUAAGUGCCAUAACGAGCGCAACCCGCGUCGAUAGUUACUAACAGGUCAUGCUGAGGACUCUAUCGAGACAGCCGUCGUAAGACGAGAGGAAGGGGCGGAUGACGUCAAAUCAGCACGGCCCUUACAUCCGGGGCGACACACGUGUUACAAUGGCAGGGACAAAGGGAAGCGACAUGGUGACAUGAAGCGGAUCUCCAAACCCUGUCCCAGUUCGGAUCGGAGUCUGCAACUCGACUCCGUGAAGCUGGAUUCGCUAGUAAUCGCGCAUCAGCCAUGGCGCGGUGAAUACGUUCCCGGGUCUUGUACACACC